AGGACGGGAAGGCGGAAGCUGCGCCAUCAUGCUCGUUUUCGCGUGCGUUCGCGUCGCGCGCUGUGCGAAGUAAUUUUAAACGUGUGAUUAGUUUUGCGCGCGGGGUAGAAAAAGAUGUGGCCCAUGCUUUGUGUAUUACUCGUGCCGCACUUCAAAGCAAAGCGUUCGUACGCACUGGAAGAUGGAUCCACGAAGGCUGAAACGAGAAGUUGCAACGUGCCCGGUCGGUAGUACUGGCAUGAUGGAAACUUUCAGCGAGUGUUCCCGCCUGAAAGCCGAGUUUGGUUUCAAGCCACCCUGGACAACUGCUGUAUGAGGCGCCGUUUCUCGGGAGGACCAGUGGGAAGGCGCCAAGUCAUGCAGAUGGUAGCAGCGAUUUCACAAUGCCCAGCCUUGGCGCCCCCCAUCAAGAGCAAGCCACUUGCUUUCGCCUUCAGACAGAUGGUUAACGUCUUCUUGAAAGCGGUUGAGAAGACAACAUUGCUGCAAGAUUCCAGCAAUGCCAUGCGCUGCAUUUAUUGGUCAAGAUGCUCAGAGAAUGGAGUCCCUGCACCUCGUGGUUAACCGUGAACAUUUCUUUUUCUUUUGGAAAGCUAAAGGCCAUUUGCUGCAUCACUUGCAUUUUUGCAGCUCAGAUGUGUACUAUAUUUUUCUAAUUUUGAAUCAAUAUUGGCUAUUCAGUAUAAAAAAUGACGUACAGCGUGAAGGACAAGGACUGCGAGAGACACACUCCACUGACUUUCAACAAUAUUUUAUUGCGUUGCCACAUCGUGUGUGUAUACACAGAGGGGUCAUGCGCAGAAAAUGAAAGCCAGACACAAGGGGUGUUCUAACAGCAAGUCAUGGUAAAAAGAACAUGGUCACUUGAAAAAAAAAACAUCACAAUUUCUAUCUGUUUAGAUACAAAAUUUCACUAGGGGUCAGCGUGAUAGAGGGGGCACUAACGCACACACUACCCAGUUUUCUGGUGAAAUCAGCUUCAAUAAUUUACCGGGUGAGCUGUGUCUCGCUAAAACUUCCGUAUCUUAAAGAGGGGCAUGCAGCCGCAGUCCCGGCAAUGAAUGCCCAAGUGGCCUUGAACAGUGUUAUGGACGUUGUUAUAGUGCUCUCUUAAACGAUCAUUUAGGCGCCUGCCUAUCUGUCCAAUAUAUUUACUGCCUCAAAAUGGGAAUUUGGGAAACCACAUUCAUUGCACACAUCGAAAAACGUUUUCUGUGCUCGGCAGAGCAACCACUCUGACGUGAUUUAGGCGCGUUUACACACUUACAGAGCCUUGCCAGCUUUUCCGGGGCUGAGAAAAGGACUGAUUUCUGCAGGUCCCCUAAUCUUUUUUAGCCUAUGGGAGACAUCGUGAACAUACGGUAGCACUGCAAACCUGUGUCUUUCAACCGGCUGGUU